rnacentral:rRNA from 1 species
AUUGAACGCUGGCGGCAUGCCUUACACAUGCAAGUCGAACGGCAGCACGGGUGCUUGCCCCUGGUGGCGAGUGGCGAACGGGUGAGUAAUACAUCGGAACAUGUCCUGUAGUGGGGGAUAGCCCGGCGAAAGCCGGAUUAAUACCGCAUACGAUCCACGGAUGAAAGCGGGGGACCUUCGGGCCUCGCGCUAUAGGGUUGGCCGAUGGCUGAUUAGCUAGUUGGUGGGGUAAAGGCCUACCAAGGCGACGAGCAGUAGCUGGUCUGAGAGGACGACCAGCCACACUGGGGCUGAGACACGGCCCAGACUCCUACGGGAGGCAGCAGUGGGGAAUUUUGGACAAUGGGCGAAAGCCUGAUCCAGCAAUGCCGCGUGUGUGAAGAAGGCCUUCGGGUUGUAAAGCACUUUUGUCCGGAAAGAAAUCCUUGGCUCUAAUACAGUCGGGGGAUGACGGUACCGGAAGAAUAAGCACCGGCUAACUACGUG